UUUGUUGAGAUAAUUCUUGAUUUGCAGUAAAAACACUAUAUAAUAUUCUAGUAAACACACUAUAUAAUAUUCUUUCUCUAUCAUGUCUAUGUAUCUUAAGUAGUCGCAUAUAAUAAUUAUACAUUAAACAUAAUGAGAAAAUCAAUAUUGGAUUCCUGUUACAUUCAAGUCUACUAGCUAUAUUUGAUGACUGUCUUUUGACCCCAAGGAUAGAUUUCAACAUUUUGUCAUUAUUGUGUUGUAAUUUAUCAAUUGGUAGAUUGUAAAAAUUAUUUGUCUACAGCAACAUAACUCCAAAUGGUAAACGCUGCCAUCCUUAAAAAUUGAUGACACAAGUAUAUGUCACACUUAUACAAGGGACACACAUAUAUAUAUAUGAAGUAAAAUUGAGAAUGGAAAUGGGGAAUGUGCCAAAGAGACAACAACCCGACCAUAGAAAAAACAACAGCAGAAGGUCACCAACAGGUCUUCAAUGUAGCGAGAAAUUCCUGCA
rnacentral:lncRNA from 1 species